rnacentral:lncRNA from 1 species
AGAUACAUCUUAACCCACUAAAAAAAAUCUAAAUGAGAUUUCUCAAAUUAAAACAGAGAGAUUUCCUCUACAAUAAUAAAGAACAAAGAAAAGAAACCGCUGCCUGUCAAAAAGAUAUCACAUAGCCUCCUCCGAGUAGAAACGUCAUUGAACGCCCACAGUUCAAAUAUGAUCAAGAACCUCUUGAUUUAUUCUUUGGGCUACAUGCACACAACACAGAAAUCAGUGGAACUCGAAAUCCAAAAGCGAUUACUCGAUGCAUGCUGCAGAGAUCGAGCGUAAUUCUAGAGAUUAUAUUAUAAAAAAUAUAUUGUGGACCCAGAAUUGAAAAUGACUUCAAAUUUUGGACAGGCAUGGAAGGACUUGCCCUUCAACGAUAUCGUGCUCCUUGUUUGCUUAUUCGAACAAAAACCUCGCAGAAAUCUCAAGAAAAUGCACGAUGUAGCUCUCCCUCUGCGGAAAAUGCAAGAUCAAGAACCAGCUUUAUCUAAAAUCACAAGAGCCAAUACAAUAAUGGGAAGGAUGGCCUAGGUAAAAUACGGUUAACUGAUAGCAAAUCUUAUGCAAUGUAUUAUAUAAAUCUCCAUUUUUAUAUUUAACUUACCCACUGUAAAAAUUAUUGAGCAUGAAUAAUAACUACAUAAACAUGUAAUUUUUUUUUUUUUGUUAAUGCUCAAUAUUAUACUGAUCAUAGAUAAUUGAAGUGAGGAGUGAAAGCCUCGUCUCUUAAGAGGGGACAUUAUCCCAAGCUUAUGACCCAGACUUAAAAUGAAUAGGGAUCCUAGAUAAAAUUAUAAAUGAAACCUUUUAAAAUAUAAUUUUUAAGAAAUAUAUUUUAAUUUAUUAUUCUUCAUGUAUGUCUAAUAAUAAAAAGAACAAUUUUCAUUUCAUAAAAUAUAAUUGAAAAAUAAACCUUAUUUAUUCUUGUAGUUUUUUAUUAAAUGGGGUCCUUGGCCAUUGUCCAAGUUGCCCAAUAUGCUCUAGCUCACUAAACACUUAGACCAAGCAUGCAAGAUCUUCAGCAAGUGUUUGGUUUUCGCAAGUUAGAACGAACGAGGUGCACGAGAGGCAAUACGAGCGUACCUCCUGGCUCAUUUAGUCUUUGAAAAAGCGUAGUCAUAAGCCUGCGUUUCUCUUGUUCUAUCUACAAAUAAUCCAUCAAGAUUUAAAUAACGCCAUGCGAAAUCGAUCAAAUGAACAAGAUUUCCGAAAUCUCUCGCUCGAUGUCUUUCUACCGUGAAUACAGUAGCUA